CAGUCGCCGCGGGAAUACGAAGGGGGCUAGCGUUGCUCGGAAUGACUGGGCGUAAAGCGUGCGCAGGCGGUGUUGUAAGACUGAUGUGAAAUCCCCGGGCUCAACCUGGGAACUGCAUUGGUGACUGCAACGCUGGAGUGCGGCAGAGGGGGAUGGAAUUCCGCGUGUAGCAGUGAAAUGCGUAGAUAUGCGGAGGAACACCGAUGGCGAAGGCAAUCCCCUGGGCCUGCACUGACGCUCAUGCACGAAAGCGUGGGGAGCAAACAGGAUUAGAUACCCGCGUAGUCCCUGUCUCUUAUAC
rnacentral:rRNA from 1 species